rnacentral:rRNA from 1 species
GACGAACGCUGGCGGCGUGCUUAACACAUGCAAGUCGAACGAUGAAGCCUUUCGGGGUGGAUUAGUGGCGAACGGGUGAGUAACACGUGGGCAAUCUGCCCUGUACUUUGGGAUAAGCCUUGGAAACGGGGUCUAAUACCGGAUAUCACUUACCUCCGCAUGGGGUUUGGUUGAAAGUUACUGGCGGUACAGGAUGAGCCCGCGGCCUAUCAGCUUGUUGGUGGGGUAGUGGCCUACCAAGGCGACGACGGGUAGCCGGCCUGAGAGGGUGACCGGCCACACUGGGACUGA